GAUGAACGCUGGCGGCGUGCUUAACACAUGCAAGUCGAACGAUGAAGCCCAGCUUGCUGGGUGGAUUAGUGGCGAACGGGUGAGUAACACGUGAGUAACCUGCCCUUAACUCUGGGAUAAGCCUGGGAAACUGGGUCUAAUACCGGAUAGGAGCGUCCACCGCAUGGUGGGUGCUGGAAAGAUUUAUCGGUUUUGGAUGGACUCGCGGCCUAUCAGCUUGUUGGUGAGGUAAUGGCUCACCAAGGCGACGACGGGUAGCCGGCCUGAGAGGGUGACCGGCCACACUGGGACUGAGACACGGCCCAGACUCCUACGGGAGGCAGCAGUGGGGAAUAUUGCACAAUGGGCGCAAGCCUGAUGCAGCGACGCCGCGUGAGGGAUGACGGCCUUCGGGUUGUAAACCUCCUUCAGUAGGGAAGAAGCGAAAGUGACGGUACCUGCAGAAGAAGCACCGGCUAACUACGUG
rnacentral:rRNA from 1 species